CACAUUCUGAGCGAUCCGAAACAUCGUCAUCAUCUCAUUAGCGUCUUCUCUGGCGAGCUCUCAUUGGCUAUUGCUGAUCACCGUCCUCAAAACUUCUCGUUGCACAUCGUGCCGAUAAAAUCAAACCUGUUUGAAAAUACCAAGACAUCUGGAACUGCUCAAAGACGAGAUCGGUAGCCUUCAGAUUGCGCAUUUGACCGCUCACAUCUAGCGUGUGUUGGUGACGGCCGCACACCCCAAGUAGGCAACAACAUGGGGAUUUUGUCUCCGAUCUCAAACACUUGUCUGGGACAGCUAAAUUGUGGCCAAAAUCCUGUAGUGUACACCUGUCAGUCUCCCUCAGAGUUAAAAGACCGUUCCCAUCCAGGAACCAUGUUCGCGUCUUCAGACUGUUUACGGAAACCACCCUGGCUCUCCUCCUGUCCUACUGCCCUGGAAUGGAUGUCGUCUUCAGACUGUUUACGGAAACCACCCUGGCUCUCCUCCUGUCCUACUGCCCUGGAAUGGAUGUCGUCUUCAGAAUAUACCCACUCUAGCCAGUAGACCCUACAGAUUCAGUAUAUCAGCUUGGAACAAAGGCCUUGCUGGUGGUUCUGUGCCUUACCCUACUCUCUGCUCAUCUUCCUCUAUGAUGAAAUACAUCCUGCGACAAAAUUCAGGAGGUUGGGUGGACAAGGAGUAUGAAGGAUCUUGUUUGGAGACUUCUUCCUGGUUAACCUGAUCCUGUGGGUGGAGGGCAGCCAUCCCCUUCGCCGCUCUGGUGGCCAUCUUGGCUUUGAGGUUUGCCAUCUCCAUGCCCUUUACCUUUGUGGGCGCCUAGCCUACUUCGGCUUCAAGAGACCUGUGAGUUUCACCUAUCAAUCACACUAUCUGUAUGAAUAACUCUUUAAAGGCAUCUCACAUCGUGCACAUUUCCCCCUGUGUUUGCAACCUCUUUGUCAGAAUAAUAGUUCUGCAGGAGGGGUGAAGUCAGGCGCAGGAGACUCAGGUACGUGAAACACGUAGUCAUUUUAAUGAAUGAAAAAACCAGUCCAAAAAUAACAAGCCGAAAAGGCAGGGAAAAAUAUUCCAAUAAAGGAAGACUAACACAGUCUUUUGAAAUAUAUCGGGACGCAGCCCAGCAACCCUAACACCCAAACGAUUAAAUUAUAAAUGGACAGAAAAGAAAAUCCCCCAACCUACAAUAGCAGACA
rnacentral:lncRNA from 1 species